AUGGCCUGGGCCCCUCUGCUCCUCACGCUGCUCACGUACUGCUCAGGGGUCAGUUCGCAGCCCGUGGUGACUCAGGAGCCCUCGAUGUCGGUGACCCCAGGAGGGGCUGUCACUCUGUCCUGCAGCCUGAGCACUGGAGCCAUCACCACCAGCAACCAUCCAGCCUGGUUCCAGCAGAAAUCAGGCUUUGCUCCUCGGCAGCUUACAUACACCACCAAUACCAGACUCUCCGGAAUCCCUGCCCGGUUCUCUGCGUCCAUAUCCGGUAACAAGGCUGCCCUGACCAUCACCGGUGUCCAGGCAGAGGAUGAGGCUGACUAUUACUGUCUUGUUUUAGCUAGUAGUGUGAAUCACAGUGAUCCAGCCAGAUGGGGAACUGAGACAAAAACCUCCCCAGUCUUCAUGCCCUGCUCCAACGUGGGCUCUGCACUGGCUGCACAGUUUGGUUCUUGCCUGCAAUAG